ACGCUUAACCGACCGAGCCACCCAGGCAUCCCAACAUGCUGGCCCCUCGAGCUAGGAUAUCUGAGCAUCAAUCAGGUCAAGACCCUGUCUACUAAAUGUCACCUUCCUAUGAGUUUCAGUUCUCAUCUUCCUGCCCUGUGCCCUGAUCCAUGCUCGUUAAAUUCCGAUUUGGUGUCAUUGUU